ensembl:lncRNA
GGGCACUAGCCCCUAGCACCCUGGUCAAAGUAGGGCACUAGUCCCCAGCACCCUGGUCAAAGUAGGGCACUAGCCCCCAGCACCCUGGUCAAAGUAGUGCACUAGCCCCCGGCACCCUCAUCCAAGUAGUGCACUAGCCCCCAGCACCCUCAUCAAAGUAGUGCACUAGUCCCAGCACCGUGGUCAAGGUAGUGCACCAGCACCCUGAUCAAAGUAGUGCACUAGUCCCCAGCACCCUCAUCAAAGUAGUGCACUAGCCCCCGGCACCCUCAUCAAAGUAGUGCACUAGCCCCCAGCACCCUCAUCAAAGUAGUGCACUAGCCCCCAGCACCCUGGUCAAAGUAGGGCACUAGCACCCUGGUCAAAGUAGGGCACUAGCCCCCAGCACUUUUUAGCUGCAUUUACACAGUCAGCUGAAUUCUGAUCUUUUCCCCAAUUUUUGACAAAAUAGCUAAUUGAUCAAAAGGUGCAAUUAGUGGGAAGAAUAUUAUAAUUGUGUUGGCUGUGUAAACGCAGCCAUGUUGAAUUUGGUGUUUUAGAUGCAGUCCAGUGUAUUCUAUCCAUUCACUCAGCAGGUUAACAAAUCCAACAUCUGUCUUCACUUUCACACCUUUAUACAGAUUAUUCAGGAAGUAUUCAGACCCCUUCCCCCUUCUCCACAUUUUGUUACGUUACAGACUUAUUCUAAAAUUAAUUAAAUAAUCUCAUGAAUCUCAUCAAUCUACACACACUACCCCAUAAUGACAAUGCGAAAACAGGUUUUUAGAAAUGUUUGCUAAUUUUUUAAAUAAGAAACAGAAAUACCUUAUUUACAUAAGUAUUCAGACCCUUUGCUAUGAGACCCCAAAUUGAGCUCAGGUGCAUCCUGUUUCCAUUGAUCAUCCUUGAGAUGUUUCUACAACUUGAUUGGAGUCCACCUGUGGUAAAUUCAAUUGAUUUGACAUGAUUUGGAAACCAAGCCAUGAGGUCGAAGGAAUUGUCCGUAGAACUCCAAGACAGGAUAGUAUCGAGGCAUAGAUCUGGGAAUAGGUACCAAAAUAAUUAUUCAGCAUUGAACACAGUGGCCUACUUUAUUCUAAAUGAAAGAAGUUUGUAGCCACCAAAACUCUUCCUAGAGCUUUCUGCCCAGCCAUUGGGGGAGAAGGGCCUUGGUCAAGGAGGUGACCAAGAACCUGAUGGUCAUUCUGUGGAGAUGGGAGAACCUUCCAGAAGGACAACCAUCUCUGCAGCACUCCACCAAUCAGGCCUUUAUGGUAGAGUGGCCAGACAGAAGCCACUCCUCAGUAAAAGGCACUUGACAGCCCACUUGGAGUUUGCCAAAAGGCACCUAAAGAAAUCAGAUUCUCUGGUCUGAUGAAACCAAGAUUGAACUCUUUGGCCUGAGUGCCAAGCGUCACGUCUGGAAGAAACCUGGCACCAUCCCUACGGUGAAGUAUGGUGGUGGCAGCAUCCCUACGGUGAAGCACGGUGGUGGCAGCAUCCCUAUGGUGAAGCAUGGUGGUGGCAGCAUCCCUAUGGUGAAGCAUGGUGGUGGCAGCAUCCCUAUGGUGAAGCAUGGUGGUGGCAGCAUCCCUACGGUGAAGCAUGGUGGUGGCAGCAUCCCUACAGUGAAGCAUGGUGGUGGCAGCAUCCCUACAGUGAAGCACUGUGGUGGCACCAUCCCUACGGUGAAGCAUGGUGGUGGCAGCAUCCCUACAGUGAAACACGGUGGUGGCAGCAUCAUGCUGUGGGGAUGUUUUUCAGCUUCCAGGGACUGGGAGACUAGUCAGGAUUGAGGGAAAGAUGAACGGAGCAAAGUACAGAGAGAUCCUUAAUGACAACCUGCCCCAGAGCGCUCAGGACCUCAUUCUGGAGCGAAGGUUCACCUUCCAACAGGACCACAACCCUAAGCACACAGCCAAGACAACACAAGAGUGGCUUCAGGACAAGUCUGAAUGUCCUUGACUGGCCCAUCCAGAGCCUGGAUAUGAACCUGAUCGAACAUCUCUGGAGAGACCUGAAAAUAGCUGUGCAGUGAAGCUCCCCAUCCAACCUGACAGAGCUUGAGAGGAUCUGCAGAGUAGAAUUGAAGAAACUCCCCAAAUACAUGUGUGCCAAGCUUGUAGCGUCAUACCCAAGAAGACUUGAGGCUGUAAUCACUGCCAAAGAUGCUUCAACAAAGUACUGAGUAAAGGGUCUGAAUUACUUAUGUAAAUGUGAUAUUUCAGUUUUGUAUUUCUAAUAAAUGUAUAAACAUUUCUAAAAAAACAAACAGUUUUUGCUUUGUCCUUAUGGGGUAUUGUGAUGUCAUUAUGGGGUAUUGUGUGUCGAUUGAUGGGGGGAACAAUUAAUUCCAUUUUAGUAUAAGGUAACAACAUUUUUGGGAAAAAGUCAUGGGGUCUGAAUACUUUCUUAAUGCACAUUAUGUCUUGUUGUAUGGAAGUCUAUGCAUCACAUUAAAUGUGUCAUUUAGGAGACUCUCUCUUAUCCAGAGUCACUACAGUAGUGAGUCAUUUAACAGACUCUCUUAUCCAGAGACACUACAGUAGUGAGUCAUUUAACAGACUCUUAUCCAGAGACACUACAGUAGUGAGUCAUUUAACAGACUCUCUUAUCCAGAGACACUACAGUAGUGAGUCAUUUAACAGACUCUUAUCCAGAGACACUACAGUAGUGAGUCAUUUAGCAGUCUCUCUUAUCCAGACACUACAGUAGUGAGUCAUUUAGCAGACUCUCUUAUCCAGAGUCACUACAGUAGUGAGUCAUUUAACAGACUUAUCCAGAGACACUACAGUAGUGAGUCAUUUAACAGACUCUCUUAUCCAGAGACACUACCGUAGUGAGUCAUUUAACAGACUCUUAUCCAGAGACGCUACAGUAGUGAGUCAUUUAACAGACUCUUAUCCAGAGACACUACAGUAGUGAGUCAUUUAGCAGACUCUCUUAUCCAGAGACACUACAGUAGUGAGUCAUUUAGCAGACUCUUAUCCAGAGCCACCACAGUAGUGAGUCAUUUAGCAGACUCUUAUCCAGAGACACUACAGUAGGGAGUCAUUUAGCAGACUCUCUUAUCCAGAGACACUACAGUAGGGAGUCAUUUAGCAGACUCUCUUAUCCAGAGACACUACAGUAGGGAGUCAUUUAGCAGACUCUCUUAUCCAGAGACACUACAGUAGGGAGUCAUUUAGCUGACUCUCUGAUCCAGAGACACUACAGUAGUUUUUUUUAAAUUUAUUUUAUUUCACCUUUAUUUAACCAGGUAGGCAAGUUGAGAACAAGUUCUCAUUUACAAUUGCGACCUGGCCAAGAUAAAGCAAAGCAGUUCGACACAUACAACGACACAGAGUUACACAUGGAGUAAAACAAACAUACAGUCAAUAAUACAGUAUAAACAAGUCUAUAUACGAUGUGAGCAAAUGAGGUGAGAAGGGAGGUAAAGGCAAAAAAGGCCAUGGUGGCAAAGUAAAUACAAUAUAGCAAGUAAAACACUGGAAUGGUAGUUUUGCAAUGGAAGAAUGUGCAAAGUAGAAAUAAAAAUAAUGGUAGUGAGUCAUACUGGUCCUCCAUGGGAAUCAAAUCCACAACCCUGGUGUUGCAAGCACCAUGCUCUGCCAACUGAGCCACACGGGACACUAAUUCAAUGUAAUAUAAUAUUCACAGGCUGAUUUAAAGGAAUGUUCACCAACUCUUUGAAAAUGACUAUCAAACAACAAUGGAAUAUCUAAUCUUUAAAACUGUAGUAUUUCGUUCAUUUUUGCCAUCAGAUCUAAUUAUUUACCUCAACUGACUUGAUGCUCUGCCAUUUGUUUAGGUCAACACAAAUUAUCUUUAAAAAGUAAUCAUUGGUGAUUAAGUUAUUCUGUCCCUGACCAUCAUGAUCUUAAAGUGACGCUCUCUAACCUUAAGUUAUUUAAUUCAAUAUGUCACCUCAUCAUUUUGUAGCCAUUACUUUAAUGGCUGUCUGACAAAUGUAUUGGUGAUUAGGAAACCAGUCUUUUUUUGAAAUUGGUCCGUUGCUGAUGCCCUCAAGCAGACACCAACCAUAUUUCAGUAGGCCCUAUACUAUAAUAGAAAUGUCUCCAUAAAUAGUGGAACUAGACACCAUCUAUAAAGGCUGGGAACUUAUAAGGCUUUAAUAGUUCACCAUCUAUAAAGGGAACCUAUAAGGCUUUAAUAGUUCACCAUCUAUAAAGGGAACCUAUAAGGCUUUAAUAGUUCACCAUCUAUAAAGGGAACCUAUAAGGCUUUAAUAGUUCACCAUCUAUAAAGGGAACCUAUAAGGCUUUAAUAGUUCACCAUCUAUAAAGGCUGGGAACCUAUAAGGCUUUAAUAGUUCACCAUCUAUAAAGGCUGGGAACCUAUAAGGCUUUAAUAGUUCAUCUAUGUAAGUUGACGCUCCCAUCAUCGUGGGAGAUGACAGGAUUCAAGACAGAUUUUAUACAUAACAAUAUGGCAUAACUUUGUAUGUCAUAAUAACUACAAAUCAGUGAUUUUGGGGAUAUUAUAGAUGAGAUUAAGAAAACAAGUACAGAGCAAACCCAAUGAAUAGUGUUUAUGGCAAUAUUUGGGAAUCAUUUUACUAGUAUUUUCCAAAGAUUGUAUAUUUUUGUAAACCUGGUUAAAUUGUUUGUUAUCUGGACAACAAAUUGUUUUGAGUUAUCAUUUGGCAUUUUCCACUCAUUACUGGGAUGGCACUUAGUCCCAUUAAAACCAAUGGAGCCGGUUGGUGGUACUGCGCUUACGUCAGUUUUAUAAACUGGCUGGUUUGAGCCCUGAAUGCUGAUUGGCUGACAGCUGUGGUAUAUCAGACCUUAUACCACGGGUAUGACAAAAGCAUGCCUUUUUACUGCUCUAAUUACUUUGGUAACCAGUUUAUAAUAGCAAUGAAGGUCCUCAGGGGAUUGUGGUAUAUGGCCAAUAUACCACGGCUCAGGGCUGUGUCCACCCGCGUUACGUCGUACAGCCCUUAGCCGGGGUACCGUAUACCGCAAACCUCUGAGGUGCCAAACUGUUGAAAAUGCCAGUGAAGACACAUGCCUGCUGGUCCCGCGGCCUUGUGAAUGUUAACCUAUUUAAAGGUCUUACUCAGAUCAGCUACGGAGAAUGUGUUCACGCAUGGUUCAGUGUUGCUUGCCUCGAAGCGAGCAUAGAGCACAUUUAGCUAGUCUGGUAGGAUCGCGUCACUGGGCAGCUCACCGCUGUUUCCCUUUGUAAUCCGUGAUAGUUUGUUGUGCAGGUCCUCUUUGUCGAUGAAUUUGUCUUUGUUCUGGUUGGUCAUGUUAAAGGCUUCUUUCAAAUUCUGGAUCUGUGAUUGGUCGAACAUAACGAACACGUUGGAGGUUGCCCUCUGGAGGGGGUUCUGAACACGUUGGAGGUUGCCCUCUGGAGGGGGUUCUGAACACGUUGGAGGUUGCCCUCUGGAGGGGGUUCUGAACACGUUGGAGGUUGCCCUCUGGAGGGGGUUCUGAACAUGUUGGAGGUUGCCCUCUGGAGGGGGUUCUUAGUUAUCAAAUCAAAUCAAAUUUUAUUUGUCACAUACACAUGGUUAGCAGAUAUUAAUGCGAGUGUAGCGAAAUGCUUGUGCUUCUAGUUCCGACAAUGCAGUAAUAACCAACAAGUAAUCUAACAAUUCCAAAACUACUGUCUUAUACACAGUGUAAGGGGAUAAAGAAUAUGUACAUAAGGAUAUAUGAAUGAGUGAUGGUACAGAGCAGCAUAGGCAAGAUACAGUAGCUGAUAUCGAGUACAGUAUAUACAUAUGAGAUGAGUAUGUAAACAAAGUGGCAUAGUUAAAGUGGCUAGUGAUACAUGUAUUACAUAAGGAUGCAGUCGAUG